rnacentral:rRNA from 1 species
CUGCUGCCUCCCGUAGGAGUUUGGGCCGUGUCUCAGUCCCAAUGUGGCCGUCCACCCUCUCAGGCCGGCUACUGAUCGUCGGCUUGGUGGGCCGUUACCCCGCCAACUACCUAAUCAGACGCGGGUCCAUCUUACACCACCGGAGUUUUCCGCACCAGGCCAUGCGGCCCUGUGCGCAUAUGCGGUAUUAGCAGCCGUUUCCAGCUGUUGUCCCCCUGUGUAAGGCAGGUUGCCCACGCGUUACUCACCCGUCCGCCACU